rnacentral:rRNA from 1 species
GGUAUUUUGACUAUACGAAGGUAUUGAAAUAAGAUUUUAAAUGAGUGCUAAGAGAAUGAUUAAACAAUUAAAAGCUUUCUUUAAUUGAAUAAUUGAAUUUAAUUUUUUAGUGCAAAAGCAAAAAUAAAAAUUAGGGACAAGAAGACCCUAUGAAUUUUUUAUUAAAUUUUAUAAAACUUUAUAUAAAAUUUAAUUUAAUUGGGGUGAUGGAAAAAGAAUAAAUAUCUUUUUUUUUUAAAAAAAUUGGUUCCGUUUUUAGCGAUUAAAUGAAAAAAAUACUCUAGGGAUAACAGCGUAAUAAUUUUGGAUAGUUCAUAUAGAUAAAAUAGUUUGCGACCUCGAUGUUGGAUUAGGAUUCUUUUUUGGUGAAGAAGU